AUGAGGAAAACAACAUGUGAAUGUGGAGGUAUGACAAAGGAAUCACUGCACAGCAUCCAAACUCUUUUUCCAAGGAGAGCUGUUCCUGAGGAUGGCCCCAGCUCUUCUAGAGGUGCUCCCACACCCCCAGCAGCAGCCCAAGAUUCAGCGUUGACAGGGGUUGUUCUGAAUGUAACAGGAUCCCACGGCAGAUGUAAACCAGACUCCAGGCAUUUGCUUCGUGUUUCAGCGAGGAGGUUUCCUUCCAGGCCCUGAAAAGAUUUUUUCUGAGGAAUCUCUUCACUGAUGUGAGCUCUCUGUCAGAUGAAGUUGUGGCAUUUCAUCUUCAGAGCCAUCCAGUCAUCAAAAAGACAUGUCCUCUCCCAAAGUGGAGUUUGUCAUCCUCAAAAAACUGAUGGAACAUGCAUUCAUCCCACCUUCUCCAUGGAUGGAGAGAUACUUGUGUGUGGAGAGGAGAUUGUCCUCAAGCCAGAAUUUAUAUGACCACCACCUGGAUGCCAAAUCAUUUUGAGAGAGGCAGUGGGCCUAUUGGAGGGACACAUUGGAGUUUUAGGGCUUUUUAUUGCCUUAUUGCUCUUAUCUUGUGCAGCUGCAUUAAUGGUGUUCG
rnacentral:lncRNA from 1 species